rnacentral:rRNA from 1 species
UACGUAGGUGGCAAGCGUUGUCCGGAAUUAUUGGGCGUAAAGCGCGCGCAGGUGGUUCCUUAAGUCUGAUGUGAAAGCCCACGGCUCAACCGUGGAGGGUCAUUGGAAACUGGGGAACUUGAGUGCAGGAGAGAAGAGUGGAAUUCCACGUGUAGCGGUGAAAUGCGUAGAGAUGUGGAGGAACACCAGUGGCGAAGGCGACUCUUUGGCCUGUAACUGACACUGAGGAGCGAAAGCCAGGGGAGCAAACGGG